rnacentral:pre_miRNA from 1 species
AUCACCUGAGGAUCUUGUUAAACUGCAGAUUCUGAUUCAGGAGCCUGAGAUUCUGCAUUUAAACAAGCUUCCAGGUGCUAUUGA